GACGAGGGAUCCUAGCGUUGUUCGGAAUCAUUGGGCGUAAAGCGGGUGCAGGUGGCUAUGUAAGUCAGAUGUGAAAGCCCAGGGCUCAACCCUGGAAGUGCAUUUGAUACUGCGUAGCUUGAGUGCUGGAGAGGUUACUAGAAUUCUUGGUGUAGUGGUGAAAUACGUAGAUAUCAAGAGGAAUACCGGUGGCGAAGGCGGGUAACUGGCCAGACACUGACACUCAGACCCGAAAGCGUGGGGAUCAAACAGG
rnacentral:rRNA from 2 species